GAACAACACCCUUGAUGCAGAAGAUUUAGCACCACUAUCUCUGUUCCAUCUGGGCUUAUAUGUACUUUUACUUUUUGGUGGUGAAAUUGGCUGAUGAUUUUCCUUUUUCUUCCCUGGACUAUUGUGCCAACUGCCAGGCUGCCUCCUGCCCUUACAGCCCUAAAUGGCUGCCUUCUUUCCAUCAACUCCCAACUUCUUCCAGUGAAAUUUAAUUGUCUCAAUGCCUCCCCCUCCCCCAUUCUCUCCAUUUUCUCCCAAGAAGCAUGACUCGAUUAUUUGCAUAUUUUGAGAAACUGCUGCAGAUUAGUUCUUUUUGCCAGUUCUCCCUGGAACUCCUGGCCUUUUGUGGAGGGAAGGAUGGACAGAAUGGGAAUCUUCACUAGAAGCCGUGGGAAGAAUUGCAAGUUACAUGCUCUAUAUGCAAUGUCCAGCAGUCUGAUAAACUGAUGAUUCUUAAUCAAGAUUGUUUUCCUGGUGGGGAAGGGGCUUUUAUUUUCUUUUAGAGAGGGGAAAGUGUGAGCUCUUCCCUUAUUCCUAAUGGCUAUUUUUGAAGCAAAGAAGGCUAGCAACGUUGGCACAUGCCACCUGGCAAAGGACCCUUGAGUAAGUGAAGGUCUCCUAGAACUGGGAUUAAGAAACCUUGCUGUCCUCACCUCCAAGGCAGGGACCAUCAAGAACCUACAGACUCCAUCUCUUCUGCAAGCCUCAUGCCAAGCCUGGGCUAUUGCUGCUGCCCCUUAAACAGAGGCUGUCCUUAACCCACCUCUCCUGCCCUGUGAUAUGUCUGUUGAGUUGGCCUGGCCAUGUCCAAGAGGCUGUAGAAAGGGGAGAAUGUCAAGGAAGACUUUUGGUUGAGAAGGAGCAGAAAGAUGUGUUUUUGCAAAGAAGAAGACCUCUAGGAAGAGCUAGUAGGAAUGUACAUGAAGAAAUUAAGUCUGAAACUGGCUUCCUCACUCCCCUGUUUCUCCUUUUCCUAUCCUUAUAGGCCUGUCCCUUGCCUCUGCCCUGGAUUGGCUGGCACACUAAAGGACUUGAUGUACAUAACUCCUGUCCCUUUUACCCUUACAAGGUGCGGAUUGCCCCUGGCUUUGCCUCUUCUUUGUGCCUUUGGCCUGGGGUGCAUUUCCACCCACCCUUCCAUGUGCCUUUCUUUGCCUCUGCAGUCUCAUUUCUCAUAAUUUUGCAAAUUACAUUUUGUUGCUUUCUUACCUACUAUUGGCCCUAAAUAGCAGAAAGAAGAGAAGUGACCUAGAGAACCUCAGAUUCUUCAUUGAGGAUUGGUAUAGCCAUGAUUUCAGCCAUAGCAAGUUUUGCUCAACAGCAUAUGCGUGGGAUUUUGCAAAACUCCUAUUCUGAUGAAUCACAAAGUAAGGUUGGUAAGAGAAGUGAGUGGUGUGACUCUUACUCCUUAGGUGCCCAGAACUUACCAUCAUCUCUGAAGGCGUUACAGGGAAGUGGUCUCUCCAAUCCUUCCCUCCCUCCAGUAUUGCCCCCUCUCACUUUAGCAUAUAUUAAUUAGCAGGUUGGGCUAGAGAAAUCAGCUGCUAUGCGGGUUGAUUAUUAUUAUUAUUUUUGAUCCUUUUCCUUAUUUGCCUUCUACUCCCCUUAAUCUAAUCUAAAAGCUCUGUUCCAUGUAACUGGAGUUCUUUAUCCCUCUCUUCCCCUUCCCUUAUAUAUUGAGGCUAUGGGGUAGGAGAAAAGUGCACAACCCACCACCCCCUUUACUGGUGCAUUAAAAUUUCUUAUUUACCCUUUUCUCCCUUCCCAUUUCUCCCCACUUUCAUCUACCUUUUCUGGCAAAAAGGAGCCUUGUGCUCUCUGUGACCCUAAGGGCACACUGCACAGGUGAAAUUGCCCCAUCCAGACCUGGCUCCACUCUUGAUUUCUCUUGCCCUCUUCUGCUCUUUUCCUGGUGCUC
rnacentral:lncRNA from 1 species